rnacentral:rRNA from 1 species
GAUGAACGCUGGCGGCGUGCCUAAUACAUGCAAGUCGAGCGAACAGACGAGGAGCUUGCUCCUCUGACGUUAGCGGCGGACGGGUGAGUAACGCGUGGAUAAUCUACCUAUAAGACUGGGAUAACUUCGGGAAACCGGAGCUAAUACCGGAUAAUAUAUUGAACCGCAUGGUUCAAUAGUGAAAGACGGUUUUGCUGUCACUUAUAGAUGGAUCCGCGCCGCAUUAGCUAGUUGGUAAGGUAACGGCUUACCAAGGCAACGAUGCGUAGCCGACCUGAGAGGGUGAUCGGCCACACUGGAACUGAGACACGGUCCAGACUCCUACGGGAGGCAGCAGUAGGGAAUCUUCCGCAAUGGGCGAAAGCCUGACGGAGCAACGCCGCGUGAGUGAUGAAGGUCUUCGGAUCGUAAAACUCUGUUAUUAGGGAAGAACAAAUGUGUAAGUAACUAUGCACGUCUUGACGGUACCUAAUCAGAAAGCCACGGCUAACUACGUG